GCUAUAAUUUACUUGAUCUUGACAAUUUACUUGGAUAACUGUGGUAAUUCUAGAGCUAAUACAUGCACCAAAGCUCCGACCGUAAGGAAAGAGCGCAUUUAUUAGAACAAAACCAAGCGGCUUCGGCCGUUCAAUGUUGACUCAUAAUAACUAAGCUGAUCGCAUGGUCUUGUACCGGCGACGUGUCUUUCAAGUAUCUGCCUUAUCAACUUUCGAUGGUAGUGUAUCUGACUACCAUGGUUGUGACGGGUAACGGAGGAUAAGGGUUCGACUCCGGAGAAGGGGCCUGAGAAAUGGCCACUACGUCUAAGGAUGGCAGCAGGCGCGCAAAUUACCCACUCUCAGAAUGAGGAGGUAGUGACGAGAAAUAACAAGACCGUUCUCUUCAGAGGCCGGUCAUUGGAAUGGGUACAAUUUAAACCCUUUAACGAGUAUCUAUGAGAGGGCAAGUCUGGUGCCAGCAGCCGCGGUAAUUCCAGCUCUCAAAAUGCAUAGAAUCAUUGCUGCGGUUAAAAAGCUCGUAGUUGGAUCUGUGGUGGCGGGUCGGUCCACCUUCGGGUGUGCACUGAUUUCGCUGCCUUUACUGCUGUAUUUGGCCCUGUGCCCUUCACCGGGUGCAGUGUCCAGUGCAGCAAGUUUACCUUGAACAAAUCAGAGUGCUUCAAACAGGUGUUUCGCUUGAAUGUU
rnacentral:rRNA from 1 species